rnacentral:rRNA from 1 species
GACGAACGCUGGCGGCGUGCCUAAUACAUGCAAGUCGAACGCAGUGGGGACGGGGAAGUAACACGUGGGUAACCUCCCAUCAGAGGGGUUACCACUUGGAAACAGGUGCUAAACCGAUACUGAUGGAUGGACACGCGGUGCAUUAGCGAGUGGGUGAGGUACCGGCUCACCAAGGCCACGAUGCAUAGCCGACCUGAGAGGGUGAUCGGCCACACUGGGACUGAGACACGGCCCAGACUCCUACGGGAGGCAGCAGUAGGGAAUCUGCGGCAAUGGACGAAAGUCUGACCGAGCAACGCCGCGUGAGUGAAGAAGGUUUUCGGAUCGUAAAACUCUGUUGUUAGAGAAGCGGUAUCUAACCAGAAAGCCACGGCUAACUACGUGCCAGCAGCCGCGGUAAUAC